GAACACUCUCGCACGUGCUUAGAACACAUCUUCAAUCUCUCUUUACUUCAGAGCAUCAGUUUACCAUACCGAAAAUACUUUAUACAGAUAAAGUCUCUUUAAAGCUAUUCCUUUGGAUCCCUCUUUCCAUGAAGAACAUUGCAAUUUGGUGACCCGUGACGUUCUUGGGAAGUUCCGGACCGAGACCAGCGACCGCGGGGCCGUCGGGAGCAGUACAAGCUACUUACAGGCGCCACAAGAAAGUUGUAUUCCCAGAUCACAGACCAGAAGCCGUCCGAUCCAGAGGAUCCUUCACCAACGUCGGUGACACCUGGCGAGUGGAUCUGGGUGAAAAAACACCAUCGAAAGACCCUAGAAGACCGGUGGGAGGGGCCAUACAAGGUACUCUUGGCCACACCCUUUUCUGUUUCUGUAGAGGACCGACGCGGGGCCCAGUGGCACCACCUGAGCCGGUGCCGCAAAGCAGAUACUCCUGGCAGAUCGUGGACUGAGACCCUGACCGACCUAGCUGCACUCCAAGCCAAGGACAAACACUCCUCAUCCCAAGACGAUGGGCCACAGCGUGCCCUUGGGAAAGUACCUGGUAGGAUUCCUUCUGGCAGUCCUGUUCCAAGAAGGAGCGGGAGACAACAUCGCCAGGUACCCACCGUCUAAACCAACAACAACAGGUCAGGUCUGGUUAAGGUACUGUCGAGGGAUAGAAAGUAUCUUUGAGCUGAAUUUUUGUGAUAUGCUGCCUUGUGGGACCAGGAUGGACCGGGUCUACCAGGCAGAAAAGUACAUGUGCGUAAGUACCAGACGAGACGGUAGCUACAUGAGAGGUUAUUCCUGCGAGGAGUGGUCACAGGCAUCGUGGCUUACCCAUCCUGGGUACAAAGAGGGCUAUUAUCCCCUGUGGUCCAGCUACAAGGAAAUCCAAAAGGGAAUCUCCCUUACCAGAAGAUUAUAUGGCUAUAAGGAAGUCUGGAGCAAUAAUGGUCUAGCAGUCAAGGGAGAGUCAAUAUUCAUAAAGUUAAGGGCAGAUUUACUCAUUCCCGAAAACAGAUCUCAUAAGACAGACAAAGGCCUGGUUUUUCUAAUGUUAAGGGCGGAUACUUAUGGGGAAGACCUAAAAGUAGUUAUCCAUCUAUCAGGAGUUGCAUGCGGGCCCAAUAAAUUUCCAUCUAGAGGGACGUAUGAUUCCUUAGGAGCGCCACAUCUCUCACCACCCCCGGUAGUGCACCCAAAUGGAGGGACGCACAAAGAAUAUUGGGAGGUAAAGACGGGUGAGCUUGAUCAGAACAUGUGGUUAAAAUGGAUGAACUACACGGCCCGGGCCCAGGGCAAGACCAACUGCAUUAUCUGUGCCGCCGGCCGCCCCUCCUUGACCACAGCCCCCGCUAGAAUCACCCCGCAUAAUUCACCGCAAGGUUUUGUUUGUCUAUUAGAAUUGUUCGUGGACGGCCACAUCCCAGGAUGCUCAAUUGCAAUAAAAUCCAGACUAAAUAACAUGUAUCCUCAGACCCCAAUUAGAUCUAUACCCCCAAGAUUUGAAGUUAAUUUAACUCCGGACUAUCAUUGUAUCACAGGAAGGGGAACAGGGAGAAAAGUGGG
ensembl:lncRNA